UACGAGGGAUGCAAGCGUUAUCCGGAAUUAUUGGGCGUAAAGCGUUUGUAGGCGGGCGAGUGUGUUUAAUGUUAAAUCUUAAAGCUCAACUUUGAAAUUGCGUUAAAAACUGCUUGUCUUGAGUAUGGUAGGGGUGAAGGGAAUUCCCAGUGUAGCGGUGAAAUGCGUAGAUAUUGGGAAGAACACUAAACAGCGAAGGCACUUUACUAGGCUAAUACUGACGCUGAGAAACGAAAGGUAAGGUAGCGAAACGGAUUAGAUACCCGUGUAGUCUUACCCGUAAACUAUGGACACUAAACGGUAAAUUUUUAAUUUACUGUUAAAGCUAACGCGUUAAGUGUCCCGCCUGGGGAGUAUGCUUGCAAAAGUGAAACUCAAAGGAAUUGACGGGGGCCCGCACAAGCGGUGGAGCAUGUGGUUUAAUUCGACGGUACACGAAGAACCUUACCAGGAUUUGACAUGCUAGAUAGUUGCUUGAAAGAGUAACGUGCCGUAAGGAAUCUAGACACAGGUGGUGCAUGGCUGUCGUCAGUUCGUGUUGUGAAAUGUUGGGUUAAGUCCCGCAACGAACGCAACCCUUGUCUUUAGUUAUUUUCUAAAGAGACUGCCUGUAAUAAACAGGAGGAAGGUAAGGAUGAGGUCAAGUCAUCAUGCCCCUUAUGUCCUGGGCUACACACGUGCUACAAUGGGAAAGACAAUGAGCUGCAAAUCUGUAAAUUUAAGCAAAUCUCUUAAACUUUCUCGUAGUUCGGAUUGUGGGCUGCAACUCGCCCACAUGAAGUUGGAAUCGCUAGUAAUCGCCAGUCAGCUAUAUGGCGGUGAAUCCGUUCCCGGGCCU
rnacentral:rRNA from 1 species